AGGAUGAACGCUGGCGGUCUGCUUAACACAUGCAAGUCGAACGGAGUAGCAAUACUUAGUGGCGGACGGGUGAGUAACGCGUGAGAAUCUACCUUCAGGACGGAGACAACAGUUGGAAACGACUGCUAACCCCCGAUGUACCGCAAGGGCAAAUAUUUAUAGCCUGAAGAAGAGCUCGCGUCCGAUUAGCUAGUUGGAGAGGUAAAAGCUCACCAAGGCGACGAUCGGUAGCUGGUCUGAGAGGACGAUCAGCCACACUGGGACUGAGACACGGCCCAGACUCCUACGGGAGGCAGCAGUGGGGAAUUUUCCGCAAUGGGCGAAAGCCUGACGGAGCAAGACCGCGUGGGGGAAGAAGGCUCUUGGGUUGUAAAACCCCCUUUUUCUCUGGGAAGAACACAAUGACGGUACCAGAGGAAUCAGCAUCGGCUAACUCCGUGCCAGCAGCCGC
rnacentral:rRNA from 1 species